GAUGAAGAACGCAGCAAAAUGCGAUAAGUAAUGUGAAUUGCAGAAUUCAGUGAAUCAUCGAAUCUUUGAACGCACAUUGCGCCCGCCAGUAUUCUGGCGGGCAUGCCUGUUCGAGCGUCAUUUCAACCCUCAAGCACAGCUUGGUGUUGGGACUCGCGUUAAUUCGCAUUCCUCAAAUUGAUUGGCGGUCACGUCGAGCUUCCAUAGCGUAGUAGUAAAACCCUCGUUACUGGUAAUCGUCGCGGCCACGCCGUUAAACCCCAACUUCUGAAUGUUGACCUCGGAUCAGGUAGGAAUACCCGCUGAACUUAAGCAUAUCAAUAAGCGGAGGA
rnacentral:misc_RNA from 1 species